UGGUGGUACCUCAAGGAGACCUUCUUCCCAGGUGACCCAUUCCACGUGGCGGUGCCGGUGUGUGAGCGAGCUGCCAGACCGCACGUGGCGGCGGCGCUUCGAUACUUCUUCCCGUUCCUGGAGUGGGCGCCAGCCUACGGGCUGGGCAACUCAAGUCGGACCUCAUCGCCGGUACUUCUUCUGGUUCCUUGAAGUUUGAUAUCCAUGCCCCCUUGUUAGAGCGGUGGAGAGAGAUGCGACAUGGAGUGAGGGAACUGUCGGCACCGGCAUAAGAGGUUGAUCUCCGCCCCGGUUUCCUCUAUGAUUACAUCAAGGAUGUAUUUUGUUGCUUGUUGGUUCUGUGUGCGGGAGCUCGAUGAUUGGGGGAGUUUAGAUCUGUGGUUUCAUUCUCAAAUUCUAUUCGUAUGGAUUGAGAUAGAGAUGAGAAGGUAGGUCCCUUAUUCAUGUAGGUUUUCUCUGUACCACUAAAUGUUUGUUUGAUUUUUUUCCAUGUAGGUUCUCUCUGAUUUUGCAUUAGUCUAUGAUCUUAGUCUUCAUUCUUUUAUUUUUAGUUUAUGAGAUUUCAGUAUUUGAUUCACUUAUUCUUGGUUUGGCAGAUAUUCAGUAUCUCUGUUCUUAUUAUUCAAUUUUUUUAUUUCUCAGAUUAGGAUUUUAGUACCUUUUCUUUUAUUAGUCAUCAGUUUUCUUCUUUAUUCAAUCAUAUUCAGCCUUAGUUCUUGUUCAGUCUUUCUUUAACUUCUUUUGUCCUUAGUCUCCAAUUUUCCUCUUUCUUCAGUCAUAUUCAGUCACACUUUGUUCAGUCUUUCAUUAUCUACUUCAGUCUGUAGUGCUCCUUGUGCAUAUAUACUUUGUUUUGCUCAUUCUUCUUUCUUAGCUUUGUUCUCUCAUUUUGUAUCGGCACAACCAAUAAUUCACAAGAUCAUCUAAUCCACAUAGGCAAAGGAAGAUUUUUCGUAGUAAAAUUCAGUAUAGUGGAGGGAAAGGAAGGUUUUUCGUUGUAAAAUUCACUACACUAGAGGGAAAAAGUUUCAAUGUUAUUAUCUAAUUGUUUCAUGGUUUUCUUAGUCAUGACUUUCUUUUCUCUACCAGCUUUAGGGGGAGGUCCAUCUAAUUUGACUUUGCCCUGGGCUGUCUGCAGGUGGGUUAAACAACCAGAUUUGGUGGAUUAGUUGGACUUGUAAAUAAUUUUUUCUGAUCCCAACACACUUUAUAUAGAGAAGUAGUAUUUCUUCAUAUUGUUACUUUUUUUGUUUGCUUUUGUGCUUAUUGCUCAUAUUGUUAAAUGUUUGUUGGGGCCAGUUCUUUUGGGCAAUUCUCCCAGAAUUGACCCCCUCCCCAGCUUCUCCCAGAAUUGCUACUCCAUCCUUUUUUACAAUUCCUAGCUAGUUAAGGUCUAAUUAGCUAGGAAUUGUAAAAAAAGAUGGAGUGGCAAUUCUGGGAGAAGCUGGGGAGGGGGUCAAUUCUGGGAGAAUUGCCCAAAAGAACUGGCCCUGACUCUUCUUUCUCUGGUCACCUUCAGUGCACAUGUUUCUUCAUUAUUUCAGUAACUACCUUCUCAUUGUUCCGCCUUCAUUUCUCAAAUCCAUGCUUAUCAGUUAUCCCUCUGUAUGCAUCAGUGAUCAAUAUUUCUCUUCAGCCUCAUUAUUUCUUUUCGAGAGUGCGCCAAAGGCUUACCUUAGCUUUAUAGAAGGAAGGAGUGAUAUUUACAAGUCAGCCUCAUUAUUUCAUUAAGUCCCUGCUCUACCCAGCCUUCAUAAAUUCAGUAUGCCCCUGUGCAUUAUGUAUAAAGACUUUUUUGAGCAUUCUUAUUUUUUAUCUUUUUGUUUCACCAGGAGGUUUUAUUACUAACCAGAGGAAGUUUCUUCUCCCACUUCGUUUUAGCGCAUGUUGUUUCAGAUGUGUUAUGUAAUAGUACUACAUAGAAGAGUUUUUUGCUUCAAGAAGUGUUAUGUAAUAGCAUAAAAACUACAUAAAUAGUUCGUUCUGUUCUGUUUUUUUUUCACUAGACAUUGAUGCUAUUUGUGCUCUUUAGCAGUGACACCAUAGUCAGUUAGCAUUUUCUGUCUUUUAGCUACACUGAGCCUUUGAUUUGUUUGUACCAUUAGGCUGUAGGGAAAUAUUACUAUAUGUAACAUGUAUUUUUUUUGUUCUUAUAAGAUGUUGUUUCUCAUUUCUGAAAUUUAUUUCUUGAUGCAG
rnacentral:lncRNA from 1 species